CAAAGAACAGUCAGGGGGCUCAGGCCCUCAGGCGGGCUGAGCCAGAAAUCAGUCUCUUUAGCCCGGGCCCUAGCUCCAGGCAGGGCACCAACGAGGGUUUGUGACUGAAAAGUCAACUGGAUCAGAUAAAUGCAAUGGUUCAUUUAUAGAACUAGAGAAAACUGAAAACUCAGGGCAUGUCUACACUUACUGGGAAUCGACGCUGUGGUGAUUGAUAUACCAGGGGUCAAUUUAAUGGGUCUAGUGAAGACCCUCUAAAUCAACCACAGAUCGCUCUCCUGUCAACUCUGAUACACCACUAGAACAAGAAGAAUAAGCAGGAAUUUGUGCAGGCACAAUCAGGCUUCGUGCAUAACAAUUCAGAGACUGUGUCUGAAAAUUUGAUUCUUCCAGCCCAAUAACAAAAUGGUCUCCAAUCUCCUGCAAACCAGACUCGUGCAAGUGACCUUUCUCAGGUUACUAUUCAUUUGAAUGAAGAGGGGGGAAAAGAGAGUCAAAAUGAGAGCAUGACAGCAUGUGUGCUAAUGAGGAAAGAGCUCCUGCACAGCAUCCACUUGUGAGCUCAAACAUUUCUCAGUUGGAUGUAAAUCUGAUGAUAGGCUGCAUGUGCAAUUGGGCAACGCAAAUAAUUUUUGGUUGCACUAGGGGCUUCGGCUGCACUUCUGAAAAUAAUGUAUUGUUUUUGCAUACACAACGUUGAGGGUCAUUGCUCGUAAAUUGCAUAAAAUGCUCUCUCUGGGAAUCUAGCCUUAUUUCCUUGGCGUGAGUUUCUAUUUCACUUUGCAAGAAAAGGCCUAUUUGCUGCUAUUACCCAUCACAAUGUAAUCAGCUUCUGUUAUUAUCAUCGGUUUAU